rfam:Rhizobium tibeticum isolate CCBAT85039 genome assembly, contig: CCBAT85039_contig45
AGUCAAGAGUCUUUGGCACCGUUUCGGUGAGCAAAUUUCUUUUGCCUGAUCGAAGGUGAAGGAAAUG